GAGGGUAUAGCUCAGUGAUAGAGUGCAUGCUUAGCAUGUACAAGGUCCUGGGUUCAAUCCCCAGUACCUCCA
rnacentral:tRNA from 1 species